AUUGAACGCUGGCGGCAGGCCUAACACAUGCAAGUCGAACGGUAACAGGAAGCAGCUUGCUGCUUUGCUGACGAGUGGCGGACGGGUGAGUAAUGUCUGGGAAACUGCCUGAUGGAGGGGGAUAACUACUGGAAACGGUAGCUAAUACCGCAUAACGUCGCAAGACCAAAGAGGGGGACCUUCGGGCCUCUUGCCAUCGGAUGUGCCCAGAUGGGAUUAGCUAGUAGGUGGGGUAACGGCUCACCUAGGCGACGAUCCCUAGCUGGUCUGAGAGGAUGACCAGCCACACUGGAACUGAGACACGGUCCAGACUCCUGCGGGAGGCAGCAGUGGGGAAUAUUGCACAAUGGGCGCAAGCCUGAUGCAGCCAUGCCGCGUGUAUGAAGAAGGCCUUCGGGUUGUAAAGUACUUUCAGCGGGGAGGAAGGGAGUAAAGUUAAUACCUUUGCUCAUUGACGUUACCCGCAGAAGAAGCACCGGCUAACUCCGUG
rnacentral:rRNA from 1 species